rnacentral:rRNA from 1 species
CAAGGUUGAAACUCAAAGGAAUUGACGGGGGCCCGCACAAGCGGUGGAGUAUGUGGUUUAAUUCGACGCAACGCGAAGAACCUUNCCAGGUCUUGACAUUGAUGGNCNNNACUAGAGAUAGUUCCUCUUCUUCGGAAGCCAGAAAACAGGUGGUGCACGGUUGUCGUCAGCUCGUGUCGUGAGAUGUUGGGUUAAGUCCCGCAACGAGCGCAACCCCUAUCUUAUGUUGCCAGCACUUCGGGUGGGAACUCAUGAGAGACUGCCGCAGACAAUGCGGAGGAAGGCGGGGAUGACGUCAAAUCAUCAUGCCCCUUAUGACCUGGGCUACACACGUACUACAAUGGGAGUUAAUAGACGGAAGCGAAACCGCGAGGUGGAGCAAACCCGAGAAACACUCUCUCAGUUCGGAUCGUAGGCUGCAACUCGCCUACGUGAAGUCGGAAUCGCUAGUAAUCGCAGGUCAGCAUACUGCGGUGAAUACGUUCCCGGGCCUUGUACACACCGCCCGUCACACCACGAAAGUCGGAAGUGCCCAAAGCCGGUGGGGUAACCUUCGGGAGCCA